rnacentral:rRNA from 1 species
UGGGGAAUUUUGGACAAUGGGCGAAAGCCUGAUCCAGCAAUGCCGCGUGUGUGAAGAAGGCCUUCGGGUUGUAAAGCACUUUUGUCCGGAAAGAAAUCCUUGGCUCUAAUACAGUCGGGGGAUGACGGUACCGGAAGAAUAAGCACCGGCUAACUACGUGCCAGCAGCCGCGGUAAUACGUAGGGUGCAAGCGUUAAUCGGAAUUACUGGGCGUAAAGCGUGCGCAGGCGGUUUGCUAAGACCGAUGUGAAAUCCCCGGGCUCAGCCUGGGAACUGCAUUGGUGACUGGCAGGCUAGAGUAUGGCAGAGGGGGGUAGAAUUCCACGUGUAGCAGUGAAAUGCGUAGAGAUGUGGAGGAAUACCGAUGGCGAAGGCAGCCCCCUGGGCCAAUACUGACGCUCAUGCACGAAAGCGUGGGGAGCAAACAGGAUUAGAUACCCUGGUAGUCCACGCCCUAAAACGAUGUCAACUAGUUGUUGGGGAUUCAUUUCCUUAGUAACGUAGCUAACGCGUGAAGUUGACCGCCUGGGGAGUACGGUCGCAAGAUUAAAACUCAAAGGAAUUGACGGGGUCAUAGCUGUUUCCU